UACGGGGGGGGGCAAGCGUUGUUCGGAAUUACUGGGCGUAAAGGGCUCGUAGGCGGCCAACUAAGUCAGACGUGAAAUCCCUCGGCUUAACCGGGGAACUGCGUCUGAUACUGGUUGGCUUGAAUCCGGGAGAGGGAUGUGGAAUUCCAGGUGUAGCGGUGAAAUGCGUAGAUAUCUGGAGGAACACCGGUGGCGAAGGCGGCAUCCUGGACCGACACUGACACUGAGGAGCGAAAGCCAGGGGAGCAAACGGG
rnacentral:rRNA from 1 species